CACGCCNUAAACGAUGUCGAUUAGCUGUUGGGCAGCAUGACUGCUUAGUAGCGAAGCUAACGCGUGAAAUCGACCGCCUGGGGAGUACGGUCGCAAGAUUAAAACUCAAAGGAAUUGACGGGGACCCGCACAAGCGGUGGAUGAUGUGGAUUAAUUCGAUGCAACGCGAAGAACCUUACCUGGUCUUGACAUGUACGGAACCCUCCAGAGACGGAGGAGUGCCUUCGGGAGCCGUAACACAGGUGCUGCAUGGCUGUCGUCAGCUCGUGUCGUGAGAUGUUGGGUUAAGUCCCGCAACGAGCGCAACCCUUGUCAUUAGUUGCCAUCAUUAAGUUGGGCACUNUAAUGAGACUGCCGGUGACAAGCCGGAGGAAGGUGGGGAUGACGUCAAGUCCUCAUGGCCCUUAUGACCAGGGCUUCACACGUCAUNCAAUGGUCGGUACAGAGGGUAGCCAAGCCGCGAGGCGGAGCCAAUCUCACAAAACCGAUNGUAGUCCGGA
rnacentral:rRNA from 1 species